rfam:Lupinus angustifolius cultivar Tanjil chromosome LG15, whole genome shotgun sequence.
AGGUGUGAUCAUACUAGUACUAAUGCACCGGAUCCCAUCAAAAAUCCGCAGUGAAGCGUGCUUGGGUUAGAGUAGUACUAGGAUGGGUGACCUCUUGGGAAGUCCUCGAGUUGCACCUC